GAGUCUUUUACUACUGUCUCCCCUCUUGGUUUCAACCAAACAGGAUUAAUAAGAACUUUUAUCUCCCGGUCCUAAUUAACACUGAAAGGUAGAAUUUAUCCUUCAAAUACUGUUAAAGAAAAAGAAAUGUAGCUGGUCUGCAGGGUUUCAUAAAAACUUUACACUUGGAUAUCCAGAAUUUACACUUGUUUUGCUCGUUUUUUCUUCAGUUGAUACUACCAGUUUAGAUGCUUUUAGUUCAAAACACAAACACUAAAAAGUGGAGAGAAGGAUCACAUUUCCAAUUUGGAGAAAAAAGAACAACAUUUUGAACCCUUUUGUGGUCCGAGGUCCCAAAAAAAAGUAAAUUUUUUCAAAGACAACCGAUAAGCAAAUGUCAUCGCCAGAUCAGUAAUUGGGCAUAAGAUCCACAUCAAAACACCUAUGCAUACACUUCAGAAUCAAUUUGCUCGAUAUUUGGGAAUAUUUGUCUCAAAGAACUUGUAUAGUUCGGAGAUUGUGCCUGCAACCAUAAUACACUGCAUUAGCGUGGCUAUCAUAGAACUAAACAUCUACAUGUAUGAUGUUAAGAAAUCUCCUGUAACUGAUCAGAGGAAUCUCCUGCAAGCAUGAAAUGUUAGUUCAAUCUAUAUUGAGGUGCCAAAAAUUAUAGACCAAGGACAUUCCAAACACAACUCGAGUGUGAAAACAAGAAGGAUUUUAUGACUCAGUCUAUUGUUAGACAAGGUUGCUCCAGUGGUCAGAGCAUUUCACUUCUAACAAAGAAGUUGUGAGUUCAAGUCACCACUAUCAGUCAACCCAUCUUGUCUAGGACGCUUUUACAAGGUAAGGCCCACUAGCCAUCUUGUGGAGUCCAUGAUUGUUUAUAAAUUCAUGGACCCGAGUCCUCACAUUCACCUAAGUUUGGCCAUUUUCCGGAAUGCAAAAGCACUAGGAGCCUAAGUUUUUCAAAAGAGAAAAGGAACGAGUACAAAUUUAGCACACAAGUCAAGCAUAAUGCCAACCUCAUAGACAAAGUUUUGGGAAGGAUGUAUAACCAACACUAUCACCACAAACACGGAGCCGAGAAAGAGCAAAAAAGAUAUUCAUAAAAAAAGCAACUACCUUACUUAAGCAAGUCUGCUACUUUAGGACGACGGACGACCGCCCAUAGGGGGUUUAUUGCACAAGGCCCCUGCAGAGGAAAGGCUUUAUCCCAGAGCACCCUGCAGCUAAAGACUGACAUCCCUUCCAGCCAUCAGAGUCCAGUCUCACCUUGUUUGACUCUGCCUUUCCAAAAUAUUUCUUUCUGAAUGUUGCGCCUCAAACUGUUCAACCGUGCAAUUCCAGUGCUGCACAUUUAUCUAAGGGCCUACUACACCUGUACUGAUUUUCAUGGUCUUUUAUAUUAUUUUCUUCGCGAGCUUUCACAUCUCUGUGAGAACCCUUUGUGAGGUUUCUAAUUUUAAUGAUGACCAAAACAAGAGUCAAGUGCAUACUACUAAUGCAAGAAAUACAUGUCACCCCACCUAAACCACAAUGAAGAAGAACUACGCAAGAAGCCAACUUGUUACUUGAUAACGGCUAAAUAAAGACCAUCUAUCAAGGCGCAAAUCAGGGUAGCAGAGAAGAAAAGAGAAUCAAUCAACAUUGCAAGAUCUAGGGAAUCCAUCCGUUAGAAGACCAAUCAAGAGCUUCAAAUCAGCCUUUAUAUGGAAAUUGUGAAGAUCAAGACUGUCGCUAUCAAAGAGGAUUUGACGAGCAAACUGACUUAAUGAAUCCAGUCACAAUCCCUAUACUAGAUUCAAGAGUAGGGUCUUGGGCCCUACUCUUAGAAUACAAUUGCCUCAAAAGGAAAAACAUAAUCAAAGGGAUUUGGGUUUUUCAAUCUCUCAGCACAAGGAAGAUAGAAUACAUCAAAUACAUUGGCGAGUAUAUAAAGAGCAGGAAGACUUGAAGAUCACCACGCAGCUUUCAUAUAGUUUUCAGUCUUUCUACUUCUUAGCAAAAACACUGUAUUCCUAAGUCUACUAGUGUCUCGAAAGAUAGAGAGAAAAAGAAAGCAAGUGAAAGGUUGUGUCAAGAACAACUAUUGUAACUCGUUGGUGGUUAAAGUUUGGCCAUUUUCCGGAAUGCAAAAGCACUAGGAGCCUAAGUUUUUCAAAAGAGAAAAGGAACGAGUACAGAUUUAGCACACAAGUCAAGCAUAAUGCCAACCUCAUAGACAAAGUUUUGGGAAGGAUCCACCUUUCCAGUACCGUUGUUCACCCUGCAGCUAAAGACUGACAUCCCUUCCAGCCGUCAGAGUCCAGUCUCACCUUGUUUGACUCUGCCUUUCCAAAAUAUUUCUUUCUGAAUGUUGCGCCUCGAACUGUUCAACCGCGCAAUUCCAGUGCUGCACAUUUAUCUAAGGGCCUACUACACCUGUACUGAUUUUCAUGGCCUUUUAUAUUAUUUUCUUCGCGAGCUUUCACAUCUCUGUGAGAACCCUUUGUGAGGUUUCUAAUUUUAAUGAUGACCAAAACAAGAGUCAAGUGCAUACUACUAAUGCAAGAAAUACACGCCACGCCACCUAAACCACAAUGAAGAAGAACUAUGCAAGAAGCCAACUUGUUACUUGAUAACGGCUAAAUAAAGACCAUCUAUCAAGGCGCAAAUCAGGGUAGCAGAGAAGAAAAGAGAAUCAAUCAACAUUGCAAGAUCUACGGAAGCCAUCCAUUAGAAGACCAAUCAAGAGCUUCAAAUCAGCCUUUAUAUGGAAAUUGUGAAGAUCAAGACUGUCGCUAUCAAAGAGGAUUUGACGAGCAAACUGACUUAAUGAAUCCAGUCACAAUCCCUAUACUGGAUUCAAGAGUAGGGUCUUGGGCCCUACUCUUAGAAUACAACUGCCUCAAAAGAAAAAACACAAUCAAAGGGAUUUGGGUUUUUCAAUCUCUCAGCACAAGGAAGAUAGAAUACAUCAAAUACAUUGGCGAGUAUAUAAAGAGCAGGAAGACUUGAAGAUCACCAUGCAACUUUCAUAUAGUUUUCAGUCUUUCUACUUCUUAGCAAACACAAUGUAUUCCUAAGUCUACUAGUGUCUCGAAAGAUAGAGAGAAAAAAAAAGCAAGUGAAAGGUUGUGUCAAGAACAACUAUUGUAACUCGUUGGUGGUGAACGAAAGAAAACCACACUCAUCUGCAAUUAAUUUCGAUUGAAGAUUUAAGAGAACCCUUGUGACCCAAGGGAACUGGAUGUAGGUGUCACGUCGGUACACGAACCAGUAUAAAAAUCUCUGUCUCAUCUGCCUUUUAUUUCCUAUCUUAUAACAUAUAUAUCUGUUGUGCUAACUAUUGCUUGCAGGAUAAUUGUAGUUGACUAAGAAGUAACCUAGUCGACUAAAAGAAUUUUUACAAUUCACCCAUCCCCCCUCCUCUUUUACUUUCAAUUGGUAUCAGAGCAGGUCUCAUACAAUGCGAAAGACGUUUGCUUAACCGCAAAGUGAGAAAAGGUCAAGGGAACAAACACUGUUGUUAGAGCACUAUUUUAGGAAGGGACAUCACAAAUAAGGUCACCUUACUUCAAUGGACAUCAUUUCUCUCGUUGGGAAGUGUGUAUGGAAACAUAUGCAAAAUCCAAUGACAUCAAAGCUUGGCGCGUUAUCAAGAAAGGAGAUCUACCUAAUCCACAAGCAAAAAAGGACAAAGCAACUGAAAGCCAGGUAUCAUCUGAUCCAUUAGAUUUAGAUGAUUAUACUGAUGAACAAAAUGUUGUGGUGCAGGUCAAUGCUAAGGCAAAAAAUCACCUAUACAAUGCAAUAAGCGGCGAAGGAUAUGAAAAGAUCUCAAGUUGUGAAACCGCAAAAAACUGUGGGAUAAGUUGGAAGUCACUUAUGAAGGAACAAAUAAGGUUAAGGAAACCAGAAUAAACCUUUUGAGUCAUGACUACGAGUAAUUUCAAAUGAAAGAAGGAGAAUCAGUGGAAGAAUUUUUCUCGAUUCAGUAAAAUUGUUGGGGAUCUCAAAUCUUUUGGGAGACCAGUGAAAAAUGGAGAACAAGUCAGGAAAAUUCUGAGAAGCCUACCUAGAGCCUGGCAACCUAAAGUCAUUGCACUGGAAUGCCAAGAUCUUGAUAAAAUUUCUUGUGAUGAACUUCUAGGUGAUCUUAUUGCCUUUGAAAAGACUCAUUUGAACAUACGUGUGCAAGAAGAAAAAAAGAAGAUUGUUGCAUUCAAAACCACUAUGGCUAAAUCAGAAAAGGAAGAAGAAGGAGGAGGAGGAGGUGGAGAACAGGAUGAAAACAUAGCCAUGCUCUCAAAAGUAAUAUCAAACAUGAUGAGAAGAACCAGAAAUGGUAAAAGAGGCAAGCCAAAUUUUAGGAAAGGAAAAGCUGUAAACGAUGGAAGAUGCUACGAAUGUGGGAAGAUUGGUCAUAUUCAAGCAGAAUGUCCUAAUCUGAAAAAGAAAGUCACCAGAAACUAUCGUAAUAAGAAAUCCUUUGGUGCAUGGAGCGAUGAAGAAGAGUCUAACCAUAAGGAAAUAGCAAACAUGUGUUUCAUGGUGAUUGGAGAAAAUAGUGAUGAAGAAGAAUCCGAUAACGAAGGAACAAAUAACUUGAGUCUCAUGGCAGCCGAAGGAAGGUACGUUCACCUAUUCGUCAUAAAUGUAAUGAGCUUCAAGAAUUUAUUAAUAUUGCUCUUGUCGAUUUGAAAAAGUUCUGCAUGAACUUCGAAAGAUUCAACGAAAGAAGAAAGACUGGGAACUGAAACUAGAAGUAUGUGAGAUCGUAAGAGACAUGCUUCAAGAAGAAGUUCAUGAACUUCAGUUACAGCUGAAUGGUUUACGCAAGUCCACCAGCCACAACUCCAUUAAGUCAAACCAAUCGACUAUAUGUAAAAACUCUAAAAGGGGAUCAGUGAAUUACAGACCUAUCGAAGAAUCUAGUCGCCCUUCUUGUUUUUAUUGUGACAAAUCUGGUCAUGUAUCUAUUCAUUGCAUGUUUAGAAAUAUAAAGGGCUGGGUCUGACAGCCCAAAACAACCAAUCGGGCAAACAACCCAAAAUCUAACCAAAAAGGACCCAAGCAGGCUUGGGUACCUAAGAGAUAGUAAUUUAUUAUUUUUGCAGGAACACCGCAAGAGGAAUCGAAAAAUAAAAUGGCAUCUUGAUAGCGCGUGUUCCAGACACAUGACAAGUGACAAAUAACUUUUCAAAUCAGUUAGUAAACUCGAUGGAGGAUCAGUUACCUUUGGAGACAAAUCAAAAGGAAAUGUCUAUGUUAUUAGUAAUGUUGAUGUCACUUCAAACCAUUUAUGUUUGGCAUCUAUGAUUGAUGAUCAUUGGGUAUGCACAGAAAAUUAGGUCAUGCUAGCAUGCAUACUAUUGAGAAACUUUCUAAACAGGAUCCUGUUAUCGGUCUUUAAAAACUAUUUGCGAUGAAUGUUAAUUAGGAAAACAAACAAAAUCUUCUUUCAAAGUCAAGGACAUCAUUUCUACUACAAAACCUCUUCAACUGUUGCACAUGAAUCUUUUUGGACCGUCUAGAACUGCUAGCAUUGAUAGUAGAAAAUAUGCUUUUGUUAUAGUAGAUUUUUCUCAAUAUACUUGGGUUAUUUUCUUAAGCCAUAAAGAUGAAGCUCUAAAGAAUUUUGAAGUUUUCUGCAAAAAAGUUCAGCGAGAACGGCUGCGACAUCACCUCUAUAAUAAGUGAUCAUGGAGGAAAAUUCAAAAGCAGAUCAUUUGAAAAAUUCUGCAAUGAUCAAGGAAUCACCCAUAACUUCUCAUCCCCAAGAUCUCCACAAUAAAAUGUAGUUACAAAAUGGAGUAGUGGAUUGCAAGAACAGAACUCUACAAGACAUGGCAAGAACCAUGAUUGCAGAAAAUUCACUACCACGCCACUUCUGGGCUAAAGUAGUGAGCACAGCAUAUCAUGUACUAUGCAUAAGGCAUAUCCUCAAGAAGACUCCUUACGAACUGUGGAAAGGUAAGAGACCAAACAUAAGUUACUUUCAUUCCUUUGGAUGUAAGUGCUUCAUCCACAACAACGGGAAGGACAACCUUGGUAAGUUUGAUGCAAAAAGAGACGAAGGUAUUUUUCUUCGAUACUCUCCCUCAAGUAGAGCAUAAAGGAUUUAUAAUAAACGUACUUUAGCUAUUGAAAAACGGAGAAGGGUCAAAAAUGCCUCUGAACUAUUGAAAAAGGUCUAAAAAUACCCUUCAUCCACCUAUUGGGCUAAAAAUACCCCUCCAUCCACCUUUUUGGUUCACUUAUGCCCUUUGACCAUUAGGUCAAUGUUGAAUUUAAAAAAUAAUUAUUUAAAUUCUACGUGGCAACUUUUUAUUGGUCGAAAUUAAAACAUGUAACCUAUUAGAAAGACCCACCUAUCUACCCGUUUUUCGGACUAACCCGCCCCAAACACUAACCUGACCCGAAUAAAAAGUUCAAAUUAAAAAAAGACGCCCCGCUUUCAUCUAACCCAUGGAUUUUUUUUUUUUAAAAAGCUAACCCAUGGAUUUACAUGUGUUCAUUUUCUUGAUUAAUCUCAUGUAUAGCAUUAUCAUCGAAUAAAGGUUCAUGAACAAAUUAAACAAACAAGAGAAGUUUAGCAUGAAUGAGCCAAUGAUUUUCUUGACAAUAAUGUGGGACGGAAAACUAGGGGUAGUCCAACGGUUUAUGAUAUCUUCCGAACAAUCACUUUGAGAUCUUUCCGUUAUGUGAAAAUGAUUAAAUUAAACUCAUCUUGAAUAUAAUGCAAUUUGUGUCUAUCAUGUAAAUUGAACUGGAUGUCAUAACAAGAAAAAGAAAACCACGUAGUAAAUUUGCGUCUAUAUGUUCGCUGCAACUUCCAUGGUUGUUCCAUGGAGUUUGAUAGAAGUGGGGGCUCUUUUUUUUAGUUGAACCUUUUGUCCGGGUCAGGUUAGUGUUUGAAGCGGGUUAGCACGAAAAACUAGUAGAUAUGGGUGGGUCUUUCUAAUGGGUUAGAUGUUUUAAUUUUGGCUAAUAAGAAGUUGCCACGUGGAAUUUAAAUAAUUAUUAUUUUUAAUUCAGCAUUGACCUAACGGUCAAAGGGCAUAAGUGAACCAAAAAGGUGGAUGGAGGGGUAUUUUUAGCCCAAUAGGUGAAUGAAGGGUAUUUUUAAAACUUUUCCAAUAGUUUAGGGGCGUUUUUAACCCUUUUCCGAUUGAAAAAUCUGUUCAUGUUGUAUUUGUUAAUACUAACCUUUCUUCUAAGAAUGAAAAAUGUCAUGAUGAUGGGGAGAUUGCUAUAAUACCGAAGUCUGCUCAAGCGGUUGAAGAUGCCCCUGAAGAAGUAACAAAUGACCCACCUCAAUUGACUGACAGUAACUCUGAAAACCAAGAUAUUUAUGCAUCAGACUCUCAACCUCAAACUGAAAAAGAGCUCUCUACAGCAAAUUCCAAAUGAAUGGAAGAGUGAACCUGGGUAUCCCCACAAGUUUAUCAUCGGUGAUCCUCAAGAAGGUAUGAAGACUAGGAGAGCACAAAAGCAGAAAUCAAAUAUUGUUCUCAUCUCACAACUGGAACCAAAAAGAAUUGAUGAUACACUUGAAAACAACCACUGAACAAAUGCAAUGCAAGAAGAACUUGGUAAAUUCGAGAAAAAUAAGGUAUGCAAGCUAGUCCGUAAACCCUCCAACACAUCUAUCAUAGGAACAAAGUGAGUUUUCAGGAAUAAGCUAAAUGAAUCCAGUCAAAUAGUAAGAAAUAAAGUAAGAUUGGUCGCUCAAGGAUACUCUCAACAAGAGGGAAUUGACUACGAAGAAACUUUUGCUCC
rnacentral:lncRNA from 1 species